CCGCGUUCGAUGUCUGUCGAUUGCUACAGCGUAAUCGACUGCUGUAAAGGGUUGUAGAAGAGGUUUCGAGCCCAUUUUUAUGCUGUGGUAGACGGGAAGUUUUCUACGUCUACAGCAGCAUACACAGAUGGCUCAUCCAGAAACGACAAGUCUGCCUCGGAAGAAGGACUGCAUACAGGACUGCCACAGGAAGCAUCGACAGAGACAGCAACCUAUGAAUAAUGCUGUGCUGACCACAGGACCUCUAACGAAACGCAUUCGGAAAACAGAAGACUUGGAAGAACAGCGCCGACAGGAAUGAGUAGCACCUGGAAGAGUAGACACCUGCCAAUCAAAUGCAGGGAAUAAUCUAUGAAGAAAGAAGAAGUGACCGCCCAAGGGCUCGCUAUCUUGACACCAUCGAAAACGAUAUUUUAGUGACUAUGGCGGAAUUGAAAGGAGCUGCACGAGACAGGAAGGCAUACAGCAAUGAUCUAAAUAGUGA